CUUGGUGCUCGCAAAAAGGAUAAUCGUCCACCUGAUUUUUGGAGGCCUAUUUUCCUGUCACCUUCAUUUGGCCCAGCAAAGAAAACUGAAGAAAAACACUCUAUGCAACAAACUGGUAACAAAGAAGGAUGCAGUCCUGGAGUGCCAUUACUUCUCCAUUUUCAGUGAUAUCAGUCCUCUUGUGUAAUUUUUAAAGCAGUUUCCAGAACUCACCAUGUAAGACACCUGAGUGAUGAAAAGAUUGUAAGAUGUAAAGAGGUAUCUCCAACUCCCAGUAACAAAGAAGACUCACAACAAAAGUUUAAGGAAAUGCACAGCCAGAAACUUUCUCCAGACCCAAAACAUCAAAGAAAUGCUGGUUACAAAAUAUCUGUCUGUAAGAGUCGU